UACGUAGGGGGCAAGCGUUGUCCGGAUUUAUUGGGCGUAAAGAGCGUGUAGGCGGCCAUACAGGUCCGUUGUGAAAACUGGAGGCUUAACCUCCAGACGUCGAUGGAAACCGUAUGGCUAGAGUCCGGAAGAGGAGAGUGGAAUUCCUGGUGUAGCGGUGAAAUGCGCAGAUAUCAGGAAGAACACCCGUGGCGAAGGCGGCUCUCUGGGACGGUACUGACGCUGAGACGCGAAAGCGUAGGGAGCAAACAGG
rnacentral:rRNA from 1 species